rnacentral:rRNA from 1 species
CCUACGGGUGGCAGCAGUGAGGAAUAUUGGUCAAUGGACGAGAGUCUGAACCAGCCAAGUAGCGUGAAGGAUGACUGCCCUCUGGGUUGUAAACUUCUUUUAUAAAGGAAUAAAACGAGGCACGUGUGCCUUUUUGCAUGUACUUUAUGAAUAAGGAUCGGCUAACUCCGUGCCAGCAGCCGCGGUAAUACGGAGGAUCCGAGCGUUAUCCGGAUUUAUUGGGUGUAAAGGGAGCGUAGAUGGGUUGUUAAGUCAGUUGUGAAAGGUUGCGGCUCAACCGUAAAAUUGCAAUUGAUACUGGCAGUCUUGAGUACAGUUGAGGUAGGCGGAAUUCGUGGUGUAGCGGUGAAAUGCUUAGAUAUCACGAAGAACCCCGAUUGCGAAGGCAGCUUACUAAACUGUGACUGACAUUGAUGCUCGAAAGUGUGGGUAUCAAACAGGAUUAGAUACCCGAGUAGUC